rnacentral:rRNA from 1 species
AGGACGAACGCUGGCGGCGUGCCUAACACAUGCAAGUCGAGCGAGGAGAUCCUUCGGGAUGAUCCUAGCGGCGGACGGGUGAGUAACACGUGGGCAACCUGCCUCAUAGAGAGGAAUAGCCUUCCGAAAGGGAGAUUAAUACCUCAUAACAUUGCAGUUUCGCAUGGAACAGCAAUUAAAGGAGCAAUCCGCUAUGAGAUGGGCCCGCGGCGCAUUAGCUAGUUGGUGAGGUAACGGCUCACCAAGGCGACGAUGCGUAGCCGACCUGAGAGGGUGAUCGGCCACAUUGGGACUGAGACACGGCCCAGACUCCUACGGGAGGCAGCAGGUGGGGAAUAUUGCACAAUGGGGGAAACCCUGAUGCCAGCAACGCCGCGUGAGUGAUGACGGCCUUCGGGUUGUAAAGCUCUGUCUUCAGGGACGAUAAUGACGGUACCCGAGGAGGAAGCCACGGCUAACUACGUGCCAGCAGCGGC